ensembl:miRNA
UAUUAGGUUGGUGCAAAAGUAAUUGCAGUUUUUGACGUUACUUUUAAUGGUAAAAACCAGAAUAACUUUUACACCAACCUAAUA